rnacentral:lncRNA from 1 species
AUUAGUAAACACAGAUCAUGGGGCCUCAACCCGUUGUUUCUGAUUCCCAGUAGGUCUGGGGUGGGGCCAAAGAAUGUACAUUUGUUCCAAGCUCCCAGGUGAUGCCUAUGCUGCUGGCCCAGAGCCCACAUUUUGAGAACCACUGGCCUGGGUGAUUCAAGUUACCAGCAAAAAAGGAGGAGGAUUCCAGCAGAUGAGAAGUUUUUUCAGAGACCAGCUUGUCACCUUUGGCUGUUCCUGAGACAGUAGGACAACCAUCAACAGCAGCCGAGGACAGCCAGACAGAAUCUCUCCCAGCCUCCUCAGCUGCCCCCCAGAACUGCCGACCAGGCAGAGUGUGGCUGAACUGGGCAUGGCCCUAAAGACACCGCUGCCCAUCCUUGCCUGGAUCCCACCACCAGCGUCUGGUUUGGGACACUGCACAUAAGUGAGGUCUUCACUUUUUCCUGUGUUGUUUUUACACGGUUUUCUUCUAUGAAUCCAGACAGAGAGUGGAAGCAGGGAGGUCAUCUUGGAUCCUGUGUGGAGCACAUUCAUUCCCAGUGACGCCUCUGCUGCCCACUCUUAAACCCACUCCCAGAAGCAAACAAAGACAUGAGCCCAAGUUCUACCAAACAGCCACAGGCAUUUUGCAUGCACACAGGUGACUCACCCUCCCCCACAGACUGCGCAGUCAUCUGAAUAGCCCAUGACCUCAUUUUAACUGAAACCCAACCAUUACUGUAAAGAGCAAGAUGGACUUGGGAAGAGCAUCCAAUCCCGCUCCUCUUUCUUGUUCCUGCCUCUGAGAAGGAAGAGGUGUCCUUGUUGGGGAGCAUCAGUGGAUCAGAACGCCUCAGCCACCAGGAAAGGUGCAGACUAGAAAGAUGCCCGCUGUCUGGUAAAAUUCCAGUCUUUUCUCUCUGGACCACUUGCCCACAGCUUCCACGUCAACUAAAAAGACAAAUGAAAUUGCUCAGGUUGAGUGAAAGUGGCCAAGGGCCCUCUCUGCCUCCCAGUAUCUUGGAAAUUGAAAGAAUUUUAGUUUGAACCACACAGACAACACAUGCCGGGACCUAAAUCCUAAUCUUACAAGCAAUAUUGUUCUCCUCUCACUUUAUCUGGCCAGUGCUAUCCCUUUAACCUGAUGAAAGCUUACUGAGGGAAAUAUAACCCACCACCUCUACACACCCACCGCAUGUUCAGAUUCCGAGAACUGCUCCCAGAGGAGUAUCGUGCUGAGAGCCGUGUAGACGUGCUUUCCAACCCUGGCUCUGUCACUCAGUUUGAUCCCAAAGUGACCUAAGUUCACUGUGCCUCAGUUUCUUCAUUAGCAAAACCCUACUUUAUAGAGUUAUUGAGAGGAUUAACUAAGUAAUACUGUUAUCUAGUUCUUGACAGUCCUGG